CAACAAUAAUAGUUAAAGAUAUAGAGAGUGUUAAUAAAGUAAAGGAAGUAGUACAGAUGUUUUGUAGGGGAUCAGGAGGCAAGUUAAAUGAAGAAAAAACAACAUAUGUGAGAUUUGGAGGAGUAAAUGUUUUAACGGAUUAUUUUCAUUUUAAAGAAACAAAAGAAAUAAGGAUUUUAGGUGUUCUAAUGGGAAAAGACGAAAGGAAUGUUAAAGAAAAAAUGUGGGAAGAAAUAGUAGGAGGAAUUGAAAGAAGGUUAAAUUUUUGGAAAUUGAGGACUUUAAGUUUAAAAAGGGAAGGUUUUAAUUUUAAAUGUUUUAAUGGUGUCAAAGUUGUGGUAUGUUUUAUAUGUGACUGCUAUGCCAAUGUGGGUGGAGAAAAGGUUGAAAAAAUGUUUUUUAGAUUUUUUAUGGAAUAGUAAACCGUCAAGAAUUGCAUAUAGUACAUUAAUAGGAGAUGUAGGGAAAGGAGGGAUGGGAUUAAUUGAUAUUGAACAGAGAAAAAAUAGCUUAAGAAUUAAAAUAGUAAAAAAAUAUCUAGAUGAUGGUCACAAAACUGCAUGGAAAAAGACAAUGGAAUAUUUUUUAAACAAAUGUGGGGAUUUUAACAUGGGGGAUGGGAUUUUAUGGAUGAAAACAAAGAAUUGGAUGACAGAGUGCUUACCAGAGUUUUAUAGGGAAAUGUUUAGUGCCUGGGGAAAAUUUUUAGAUAGACUUGAGUAUGAUCCACAUGGGAGAGAAAACAUUUUAAAUCAACCUCUGUUUUUAAACCAAAACAUUUUAAAACAAGACAAAGGAAUUUUUUUAAAGAAAUGGAUGGAAGUGGGGAUAACAAGAGUGAGAGAUGUUUUGUAUGAAUUUAAAGAAGGGUUUUUACCGACACAAUUUAUUGUAGAUGCAAUGGAGGAGGUGUAACAGGUGUUAUAUAAAUUUAUUAAUUUCACACAAAAUCCCUCCCUUUGUUAUUAUCAAUUAUUUUAUAUUUAUAUAAUUAUUUUUAUAUUCUGGGAAUUUUUCUUUCAUCUGGAAUGUUAUUUGAGCUGUUUCUAUCCUUGUAUGUAAAUUUUUCAGUGUUAUUUUGUAAUUGUUAAAAUAUAGUACGUGGCCCCUUUAAGAGUUAGGUUCCGGUUGUUUUCCUUCAGUUCGCGGUAAGCGCAGCUGGGGAAAGGUCAAUGUUGAAAUUGUGGAGAAAGGCCACGGAUUGACACUUUUUUCAUAAAUUUUCCUUUUUAUUCAUUCAGAAUAAAAAAAGUGGUCCAAAGAAUCUCUUGUUGUCCGGUCUGGUUAAAAUAUCAACACAACGCAGAGAGAAGAUAAAGACCGGUCACAAUGGUGCCGUGACUUUUCCUUGAUGCAAGUCAUCGUGGAUCCUCUUUGAUCAACGUCAGCUUGGUCGCCGGGGUUUGCUGCAUUCUGGAGCGCCCAAAUUAUGACUGUACCUGUGUCAAAGAAAAAAGGUUGGACAUUAGACUGUACAUAAUUCAGAAAAAGAUUGAUAGUUCAUAUUCUCGGAAGAGAGGAAAAAAGUAGUAGUGAAGUUUGAAUUUGUGAUACAAAUUUUGUUUGAUUAUUUGAUUGUGUAUUAUUUCUGAGCUAUCUACACAGUUUUUUUUCUGUGGUCAUCAUCUGUUCUAAUUUACUUUUGUUGAUUUGUAAUAUUCAAGAUGUCACAAAAUAGUGAGAAGACAAGUUACUCCUCUAGUGAUGGGUUUGAAUUGGGUUUUGCCAGGGGACGUAUCUUUGGUGAACUUGAACAGACACCACUAAGAAGGACAGUUAAUAUUGGUUCUCCUGAUUUCUGUUCAACCCGUAAUCCUGUUAGAGUUCAUACAACUGAAUCAGAAAAGUGUGAAGGUGUUGCAUCAGGCAGUACUAGUAAUGCUGAUUUGAGUAGUUUAAUCACACAGCUUGCACAACAAAUAGGGCAGUCAAUAUCUGAUCAGCUGAAAAAAGACAAUGGAAAAAACGAGUGUCCUGAUAAAACACAGAGCCUAGGGACGAAUCAGGUUCUCAUGGAGUCACCUUCUCUAAAUUUGACUGGUAUGAAGUUAGUGAUGAAGCCUGAUGUCAAGGUACCUCCCUGUUUCAGAGGGGAUGGAUCUGACAAAUUAUCAGUACAUGAAUGGGAAGAACUCAUGGAUGUUUAUUUGAGGAAGAAAGGUGUUCCUUUAGUUGAACAAGCGGACGAG
ensembl:lncRNA